rnacentral:rRNA from 1 species
AAUAUUUGACACUGGGGGGAACCCUGAUCCAGCCAUGCCGCGUGUGUGAAGAGGGUCUUCGGAUUGUAAAGCACUUUAAUUUGGGAGGAAGAGUUGUAGGCUAAUAACUUGCGAUUUUGAUGUUACCAACAGAAUAAUCACCGGCUAACUUCGUGCCAGCAGCCGCGGUAAUACGAAGGGUGCAAGCGUUAAUCGGAAUUACUGGGCGUAAAGGGCGCGUAGGUGGGUCGUUAAGUUGGAAGUGAAAGCCCCGGGCUUAACCUGGGAAUUGCUUUCAAAACUGACGAGCUAGAGUACGGUAGAGGGUAGUGGAAUUUCCUGUGUAGCGGUGAAAUGCGUAGAUAUAGGAAGGAACAUCAGUGGCGAAGGCGACUACCUGGACUGAUACUGACACUGAGGUGCGAAAGCGUGGGGAGCAAACAGG